UCAGAAGAGCGAAGUGCCUGAAGGGAACCAAAAUCUUAAUCAAUGAAGACCGAACUGCUGCCAUGACUACUUUAAGAACGAAAAUAAGGCAACAUCGCUUAGAGUUGCCAACUUUCUCACUACCAAAUAAGGGACAAAAGGUGGCGUUUGCAUGGGAAAUGCAUGGUGCCACAGCGGUGAGUCCAGUUUUGAAGAGCCGCAAACCGCCCAGGUGCACAGGCAGGGCUGCGGAAAGAAUGGGACAGGAAGACCUUGAAAGGGCUGCCCGAUUGACUGGACAAACUCGCGAGUGCAGCUGCGUGAAUUGCAGGGAGACUCCUGCGCCUUACAACACACAACUGCUGCCAUUUCACCACUGUAAUAUUCAAUUGUAUGUUUACAUAACAGGUCAACACUUUGCAUGACUACAAUGUACUUUAUUCUUCAUUUGGAUCCCAAUCAGGAAAAAUAAUCCAUUUGGUGA